AUCAGAUCAGCGCUUGCCAGGGACCAUGGGGAAGAGGAAAUGGGGAGUGACUGCUUAAUGGAGACUGCCUGGCCGCCUCCCUCCCGUGCCCUGGUUAGAUGAAUGGGCUGCGUCAGAGGAGCCAAAACGCCAUCUUGGUUCCAGCCACCUGGAUUUUCGACAUGGUCUUAGAAUUCUCAUACUCUACAGAGCACGAACAAACUUUGAUGACAGGAUUCUUUCUUCUCUUUCCGCAUACGAAAACCCAAUUCAGAUGAGCAGUGCGCGCCGUAACCGUUCACAGCCUCAUGGUGCUCCAGCAGAGGCCCAACAAUAGCCUCUUCUUUUCCAUUGGACGACGUCUUGAGUUCCAGAAUGCUGCACUGAGCACAAUGCAGAGCUCCUGGGAGACAUUAAGUGUUCACUUGGUGACUCACUGUGGGCAGAAGAGGACACAAGAUGGAGAAAAGGUAAGAAAAUGCUCAGCAGAGGAGAAGAACUCCACCAGAAGGGCAGCCAUGUUUGUGAGUUCCUGAACAUUGACGACAAGGGUUCCAACAAUGACCAUCUACCAGCUUGUAUUGUCCUCCCGGGUGCUGGGCUGGACUCUGAGGAUGCCAUGCCUCAUUCCGUCCUCACAGGAAGCUACUAUCCAGAGCCGACAGAGGUUUAGUGACUUGGCCAAGGUCAUUCAGCUAGUUAGGAUCCAAGCCCGAGCAAUCGGGCUUCAGACUCCAUGCUCUUAACCACUCCACUCCGCUCCUCCUCCUGAGAAAUGGCGUAGAAAGUCCUCCCAGACUGCUAGCUAUUGCAGCAAUGAUUAGUGCUUAACGAAUUUGUUGACUGAAUGAGUGCAUGCGGGAAAAAGGACUCACUCUGGCUUGCUGAGAGGCUGAAGCCUAAAGCAGAAGACUGCUACAACAGAGCAGACCAGGUCUCGCCUGGAAGAACCAGCUAACACAAGAUCAACCUUCUUCAAAAGGGGGAACAAAUGUCCCUGAAACACAGCUUGUCAGAGACAUUCCCUUCCUCCUUCCACCCUCCUUUGUCACCCAUCACACCCGCCAUUGCUGACAGAACAAAGGUAGCAACCACGUCCUCAGUCUAGGGGCCUGGAGUACGGGUUUGUAACCCAGAAAAGAAGUCUGAUGAGUCUAUUUCCUAAACCAAUGCCUCUCCAAAAUUCUAUUUAAAAAGAAAAAGUUAAUGUGAGGUUGAGCUGUGGAAGAGAAAAUUAACUCAGCUUUUCAUCAGCUUGGACUCCUGGGGUUGUCAAAGGCAGCAUGUCAAGUUAAAACAUGCAGCUAAAAUAAAGAAGAAAAAGAAAAGAAAAGCCUGUCUCUGGGAGAGGGCCUUUCCUUUCUAUUCUUUGCUGUCAAGGAGGCAAAGCUGGUUUGGUUAUUCUUUUUUGACUCCCCUUGAGAAAUUCUCAAUAUGAUUGGCAAGAAGUCAGGAAUAACAAGAUAGAGUGGUAACGUAAAUGCCUGCAGAAACAGUAGAUCCUUUGUGCUGACCUUGUCUAAGAAGUCUUAAAGUGGGAAGAAAAGCUGGGGUUUGGCCUUUGAUGCGGAGCCCUUGCACGUAAAAUUUACAGUAUCCUUCCUAUCGGAAAUGCUUAAACACUCUCCCUACAGGUAUUUACAAUCUGUCUCAACAUUUGGCUGACUCCUGGCAAUUUUCUGCUUUCAUUCACAUGAACCGCUUAAAGGAAAGCUCCAGGGCGGCAUUUUGAGUAGCACAUUGAAUUAAAACAAAGGAUAAAUAACCAAAGAAAUAUUGGAGAGUCUGGAAUGCAAUCAACAUCUAAGAAAAAAAAAUCAUUAUUCUUCACAAAUACAAAACAAUGGCAAGACAUUGACAAGGACCUAGAAAGCUGGGAAAACAAGGCCAGGCAAACUGCAUGUGAAACCACAAUCCCCUUCUCUUUAAAGCUUCCAAAGCUCUCACAUUCCAUCGUCCUAUGUGUUUCCAAUUUAGACUCCCUUUAAUAACCACAAUAGACACAAUCCUUCCUUAUGUCUGACAAUCUCUAAUGUCUAACAAAUUUGAAUUGUCUUAUGUCUUGUGCUCAAUAGAUAGAGAAAUACUAUGUCCUUACAUCGUGUAAUAUCCCAAGCUUCCGGGAUCCUCGCCUGGAAGAAGUCUCAAGACUCCCGUUUUAUUUUGUGAAUUUUAUACGCUACACCAAUAUUAUCCACGUUUGUUUUCAUUUGAAAGCACUGUUUAAGCUAUCGUCAAGUUAGAUGGAUCCACUAGGAGAACACACUGUGUUCAUCCGGUUGCUGAGAGUGUUCCCAGCUCACUGGCUUACACACUCCAUUAAUAAGCCCAACUCUGGA
ensembl:lncRNA